rnacentral:rRNA from 1 species
UACGGGGGGGGUAAGCGUUGUUCGGAAUUACUGGGCGUAAAGGGCUCGUAGGCGGCCAACUAAGUCAGACGUGAAAUCCCUCAGCUUAACUGGGGAACUGCGUCUGAUACUGGAUGGCUUGGAUUUGGGAGAGGAAUGCGGAAUUCCAGGUGUAGCGGUGAAAUGCGUAGAUAUCUGGAGGAACACCGGUGGCGAAGGCGGCAUCCUGGACCAACACUGACGCUGAGUGAGCGAAAGCCAGGGGAGCAAACGGG